rnacentral:rRNA from 1 species
GACGAACGCUGGCGGCGUGCUUAACACAUGCAAGUCGAACGGAAAGGCCCUGCUUUUGUGGGGUGCUCGAGUGGCGAACGGGUGAGUAACACGUGAGUAACCUGCCCUUGACUUUGGGAUAACUUCAGGAAACUGGGGCUAAUACCGGAUAGGAGCUCCUGCUGCAUGGUGGGGGUUGGAAAGUUUCGGCGGUUGGGGAUGGACUCGCGGCGUAUCAGCUUGUUGGUGGGGUAGUGGCUUACCAAGGCUUUGACGGGUAGCCGGCCUGAGAGGGUGACCGGCCACAUUGGAACUGAGAUACGGCCCAGACUCCUACGGGAGGCAGCAGUGGGGAAUAUUGCACAAUGGGAGGAAGCCUGAUGCAGCAACGCCGCGUGCGGGAUGACGGCCUGCGGGUUGUAAACCGCUUUCGCCUGUGACGAAGCGUGAGUGACGGUAAUGGGUAAAGAAGCACCGGCUAACUACGUG